UCCGAGUUGACCCCGGCAGUCUCCCAUGAGUCCCCGGCAUGACCCGCUGGCAACAUAGGAUAAGGGUUGCGCUCGUUGCGGGACUUAACCCAACACCUCACGGCACGAGCUGACGACAACCAUGCACCACCUGUGUACGGCCCCUAAGGACACCAUAUCUCUAUGGCUUUUCCGUACAUUUCAAGCCUUGGUAAGGUUCUUCGCGUUGCUUCGAAUUAAGCCACAUGCUCCGCCGCUUGUGCGGGCCCCCGUCAAUUCCUUUGAGUUUUAACCUUGCGGUCGUAAUCCCCAGGCGGGGUGCUUAAUGCGUUAGCUACGGCACGGAGGGAGUGGAAUGUCGCCAACACCUAGUGCCCAACGUUUACGGCGUGGACUAC
rnacentral:misc_RNA from 1 species